UCCCAGACUCCUACGGGAGGCAGCAGUGGGGAAUAUUGCACAAUGGGGGGAACCCUGGUGCAGCGACGCCGCGUGAGUGAAGAAGUCAUUCGUGAUGUAAAGCUCUAUCAGCAGGGAAGAAAAUGACGGUACCUGACUAAGAAGCCCCGGCUAACUACGUGCCAGCAGCCGCGGUAAUACGUAGGGGGCAAGCGUUAUCCGGAUUUACUGGGUGUAAAGGGAGCGUAGACGGCAGCGCAAGUCCGAAGUGAAAGCCCGGGGCCCAACCCCGGGACUGCUUUGGAAACUGUGAAGCUGGAGUGCGGGAGGGGCAGGCGGAAUUCCUGGUGUAGCGGUGAAAUGCGUAGAUAUCAGGAGGAACACCGGCGGCGAAGGCGGCCUGCUGGACCGUAACUGACGUUGAGGCUCGAAAGCGUGGGGAGCAAACAGGAUUAGAUACCCGUGUAA
rnacentral:rRNA from 1 species